rnacentral:rRNA from 1 species
AGGACGAACGCUGGCGGCGUGCUUAACACAUGCAAGUCGAGCGGAAAGGCCCUUCGGGGUACUCGAGCGGCGAACGGGUGAGUAACACGUGAGCAACCUGCCCUUAGCUCCGGGAUAGCUCCGGGAAACCGGAAUUAAUACCGGAUACGACCACGGCCGACAUCUGCUGUGGUGGAAAGGAUUCCGGCUAAGGAUGGGCUCGCGGCCUAUCAGCUAGUUGGUGGAGUAACGGCCCACCAAGGCGACGACGGGUAGCCGGCCUGAGAGGGCGACCGGCCACACUGGGACUGAGACACGGCCCAGACUCCUACGGGAGGCAGCAGUGGGGAAUAUUGCGCAAUGGGCGAAAGCCUGACGCAGCGACGCCGCGUGGGGAUGAAGGCCUUCGGGUUGUAAACCCCUUUCAGCAGGGACGAAGCGAAAGUGACGGUACCUGCAGAAGAAGCGCCGGCUAACUACGUGCCAGCAGCCGCGA